GCCCCUCCGCACGGAGCCUCUUCCUCUGCCCGAGCCCCUCCGAGCUGCUCCCGCUGUUGAGGUACAGAAAGACUUGCUCCCCCUGCGAGCCUGCCACUGAACCUACCUGAAGCUUUUCUUCCCCUGUAACCAUGGACAAAAGGAGGUCCUUGAGAAAUCAAGUGGGAGCACUAGAAAAACAAGUUAAAAAUGUACUAUCCCUGGGCUGUGGAUGAAGACUGGAUGUGGAAAUAUGAGGGACAUGUAUGAAAUUUGCAAAGGAGAAAGGAAAAUAAAGUUUAAUGUUGA